UCCGACAUCAUUGCUCUGCUCAAGAGACGCGGAAUCAAGGGUGUGGAUGUUCUCAGAGAAGAAGAAGUCAAACUGGGAGAGGAAGAGGCGAAGAAGCUGCUGAAGACUUCGCUGGAGCACAAGGGUGUCUUGACCCGUGUCUUCAAGGACAUCAUAAGUAAAUAAAUGCCUUUGUGCUCAUUCCCUUGUUUGUGAAUGGGACUUUCCUAUCUUUUGCUCUAGUCUACUAAAUUAAUAAAUGUCUGUGUGCUCUUUAGCAAUGCAGACUUGUUUUGUUUGUCCACCUAUGGACUUAUGUGUGUGUAUUAAUUUCAAUCUUGUCUUUGUUUAAA